AAUACCGGAGAAUGUUAUCACGGGAGACACACGGCGGGUGCUAAUGUCCGUCGUGAAGAGGGAAACAACCCAGACCGCCAGCUAAGGUCCCAAAGUCAUGGUUAAGUGGGAAACGAUGUGGGAAGGCCCAGACAGCCAGGAUGUUGGCUUAGAAGCAGCCAUCAUUUAAAGAAAGCGUAAUAGCUCACUGGUCGAGUCGGCCUGCGCGGAAGAUGUAACGGGGCUAAACCAUGCACCGAAGCUGCGGCAGCGACACCGUGUGUUGUUGGGUAGGGGAGCGUUCUGUAAGCCUGUGAAGGUGUGCUGUGAGGCAUGCUGGAGGUAUCAGAAGUGCGAAUGCUGACAUAAGUAACGAUAAAGCGGGUGAAAAGCCCGCUCGCCGGAAGACCAAGGGUUCCUGUCCAACGUUAAUCGGGGCAGGGUGAGUCGACCCCUAAGGCGAGGCCGAAAGGCGUAGUCGAUGGGAAACGGGUUAAUAUUCCCGUACUUGGUGUUACUGCGAAGGGGGGACGGAGAAGGCUAUGUUGGCCGGGCGACGGUUGUCCCGGUUUAAGCGUGUAGGUAUGUGUUCCAGGUAAAUCCGGUUCACUUUAACACUGAGGCGUGACGACGAGGCACUACGGUGCUGAAGCAACAAAUGCCCUGCUUCCAGGAAAAGCCUCUAAGCAUCAGGUAACAUCAAAUCGUACCCCAAACCGACACAGGUGGUCAGGUAGAGAAUACCAAGGCGCUUGAGAGAACUCGGGUGAAGGAACUAGGCAAAAUGGUGCCGUAACUUCGGGAGAAGGCACGCUGACACGUAGGUGAAGUGAUUUACUCACGGAGCUGAAGUCAGCCGAAGAUACCAGCUGGCUGCAACUGUUUAUUAAAAACACAGCACUGUGCAAACACGAAAGUGGACGUAUACGGUGUGACGCCUGCCCGGUGCCGGAAGGUUAAUUGAUGGGGUCAGCGCAAGCGAAGCUCCUGAUCGAAGCCCCGGUAAACGGCGGCCGUAACUAUAACGGUCCUAAGGUAGCGAAAUUCCUUGUCGGGUAAGUUCCGACCUGCACGAAUGGCGUAAUGAUGGCCAGGCUGUCUCCACCCGAGACUCAGUGAAAUUGAACUCGCUGUGAAGAUGCAGUGUACCCGCGGCAAGACGGAAAGACCCCGUGAACCUUUACUAUAGCUUGACACUGAACAUUGAGCCUUGAUGUGUAGGAUAGGUGGGAGGCUUUGAAGUGUGGACGCCAGUCUGCAUGGAGCCGACCUUGAAAUACCACCCUUUAAUGUUUGAUGUUCUAACGUGGACCCGUGAUCCGGGUUGCGGACAGUGUCUGGUGGGUAGUUUGACUGGGGCGGUCUCCUCCUAAAGAGUAACGGAGGAGCACGAAGGUUGGCUAAUCCUGGUCGGACAUCAGGAGGUUAGUGCAAUGGCAUAAGCCAGCUUGACUGCGAGCGUGACGGCGCGAGCAGGUGCGAAAGCAGGUCAUAGUGAUCCGGUGGUUCUGAAUGGAAGGGCCAUCGCUCAACGGAUAAAAGGUACUCCGGGGAUAACAGGCUGAUACCGCCCAAGAGUUCAUAUCGACGGCGGUGUUUGGCACCUCGAUGUCGGCUCAUCACAUCCUGGGGCUGAAGUAGGUCCCAAGGGUAUGGCUGUUCGCCAUUUAAAGUGGUACGCGAGCUGGGUUUAGAACGUCGUGAGACAGUUCGGUCCCUAUCUGCCGUGGGCGCUGGAGAACUGAGGGGGGCUGCUCCUAGUACGAGAGGACCGGAGUGGACGCAUCACUGGUGUUCGGGUUGUCAUGCCAAUGGCACUGCCCGGUAGCUAAAUGCGGAAGAGAUAAGUGCUGAAAGCAUCUAAGCACGAAACUUGCCCCGAGAUGAGUUCU
rnacentral:rRNA from 1 species